UCUUACGGAUGAGCAGAGAAAGUAGUUUCUUGAGAUGCAGUCUACUCUUGGUAAACAUGCUAUGAA
rnacentral:pre_miRNA from 1 species